rnacentral:rRNA from 1 species
AUUGAACGCUGGCGGAAUGCUUUACACAUGCAAGUCGAACGGCAGCACAGGUGCUUGCACCUGAUGGCGAGUGGCGAACGGGUGAGUAAUACAUCGGAACGUGCCCAGUCGUGGGGGAUAACGUAGCGAAAGUUACGCUAAUACCGCAUACGAUCUAAGAAUGAAAGCGGGGGACCGUAAGGCCUCGCGCGAUUGGAGCGGCCGAUGUCAGAUUAGGUAGUUGGUGAGGUAAAGGCUCACCAAGCCGACGAUCUGUAGCUGGUCUGAGAGGACGACCAGCCACACUGGGACUGAGACACGGCCCAGACUCCUACGGGAGGCAGCAGUGGGGAAUUUUGGACAAUGGACGCAAGUCUGAUCCAGCCAUUCCGCGUGCAGGACGAAGGCCUUCGGGUUGUAAACUGCUUUUGUACGGAACGAAAAAGCUCUUACUAAUACUAGGAGUCCAUGACGGUACCGUAAGAAUAAGCACCGGCUAACUACGUGCCAGCCGCCGCGGUAA